rnacentral:misc_RNA from 1 species
AUUAUUUUGGAGCCACAGUGGGAGAUACAAGUCAAGAAUCAAAAGUUUGUCUUUUAUUCUCUACCAAAAUACCAAUAAAACUCUUAUAAACAUUUGAAUCGUGAUGAAAAACUACUAUACUUAUUGUGUUUGAAAUUGAAAACAAGUUUUAGUGCAUUAAUAAAUUGCUAGAAUAGAUAUUUAAAUAAAAUAAUACCGCAUAAAACUCAAUGCACAUUACUCAUAUUUUUUGAGGUUACAACCCCUCCCCCUCUGCAAGAAGGCGCGUCUUAUGAAUGAAACAUCUUAAAAAUCUGUUGAAUAUAAACUUGACCAGCCCCUAACUUCAGAAAGCUAAAUUUCUCGUGAGAAUUUUUGUCCGCAAUCUAUUCUGAAUGAAGCUAUGUGAACGUUCAAGAAACACCUAGGCUAGGAUACUGUAAUGCUAUCAACAAAUUGUCGCAGGAGGUUUUGACCUUCGUUGCGCAGCAUCUUCGUGGUAUGGUUCUGUACUCUUUAUUGCCGGAGGAAAGUUAAUUGUUAUGGCCGACCAAGACUACGAUAUGGGCCCUACCACGGAGAUGAUGGUAAAUGAUUUUGAUGACGAAAGAACACUUGAUGAAGAAGAAGCCUUAGAAGGAAGCGAAGACUCUCACAACGAGUUGUCCAACUUACAAAAGGAAGGAGAUAUGCCGUUGAAAGAUUUACUUGCGAUGUAUGGUUACGGAGAUCCAUCCACGGAGAAUUCCAAUAGUUCCGACCGAAUAUUGCCGUCGACUGGAUGUGAUGAUGAAGUGGAUGGUCAAUCUUCCGAUAAAGGAGAGGGAGAUGGUGAUGCUGAUAUAGAUGGUGAUGGGGAUGGUGAUGCAGAUGACGAUGAGGAGGAUGUGGAUCGGACAAGUAAUGAACCCGACUUGAAGCAAUUCUAUACUGAAAUGGUGAAAGCAGAAGAGGCAGGGACCAUCGACAGAGAUGGUAUCGGCAGUGGAAGUGGGGGCUCAUCGAGACUCCUGCGCAGCGUCUCACGUCCUCAGAGUGAGGAGGAAGAGGAUGACUGUGAUUAUAGCCCUGAUGAAGAUGAAUGGAAGAAAACAAUAAUGGUGGGGAGCGACUAUCAGGCUGCAAUCCCAGAGGGUUUAUGUCGCUAUGACGACGCUCUGCCUUAUGAAAAUGAAGACAAGAUGUUGUGGGACCCGAGCCACAUAGCUGAAGAAGAGACCGAAGAGUUUUUAGAACGAGCUCAGUUAGCUGCAGUGAAAGGAAAUACGAUACCCGCCGGUUCCCACAUUAGAGACGACGAACAGGCUUUGUAUUUGCUACUGCAAUGUGGGUACAACCUCGAAGAGGCUCUGCGAAGGCGCAGAAUGAACGUUAUUCCAUCUACAGAUGCUGUUAGCCUCUGGUCCGAAGAAGAAUGCCAUAAUUUUGAAACCGGACUCCGCACGCAUGGAAAAGACUUUCACCGUAUACAAAAAUACAAGGUUACCAGAGAGAGCGAGGCAGAUAACGAACAGGUGUUGGCUUCAGGUGAGAACGAGAUCCGUGGGAGAACUGGUACAAUUUUAUUAUCUAUGGAAAAAGACGGAAAGGCAUGACAUUUUCACUUACAAGGCGCGCAUCGAUAAAAAAAAGUAUUCUCUACAUCCUGGCAUCACGGACUAUAUGGACCGUUUCCUGGAAGAACAAGAGGGGGUUCGAGACCGUAGCAGUUCACCAAACAAUCACUACCUCCAUCAUUCAGA